rnacentral:rRNA from 1 species
GGAAUAUUGGGCAAUGGGCGAGAGCCUGACCCAGCCAUGCCGCGUGCAGGAAGAAGGCUUUCUGAGUCGUAAACUGCUUUUGACAGGGAAGAAUAAGCAUUACGUGUAAUGCGAUGACGGUACCUGCAGAAUAAGCACCGGCUAACUCCGUGCCAGCAGCCGCGGUAAUACGGAGGGUGCGAGCGUUGUCCGGAUUUAUUGGGUUUAAAGGGUGCGUAGGCGGCCGUUUAAGUCUGGGGUGAAAGCCCGCUGCUCAACAGCGGAACUGCCCUGGAUACUGGAUGGCUUGAGUACAGACGAGGUUGGCGGAAUGGACUGAGUAGCGGUGAAAUGCAUAGAUACAGUCCAGAACCCCGAUUGCGAAGGCAGCUGACUAGGCUGUUACUGACGCUGAGGCACGAAAGCGUGGGGAGCGAACA